rnacentral:rRNA from 1 species
GACGAACGCUGGCGGCGUGCCUAAUACAUGCAAGUCGAACGCAGUGGGGACGGGUGAGGAACACGUGGGUAACCUCCCAUCUGAGGGGAUAAAACUUGGAAACAGGUGCAAAACAGAUACUGAUGGAUGGAACCGGGGUGCAUUAGCUAGUUGGUGAGGUAACGGCCCACCAAGGCCACGAUGCAUAGCCGACCUGAGAGGGUGUUCGGCCACACUGGAACUGAGACACGGCCCAGACUCCUACGGGAUGCAGCAGUAGGGAAUCUUCGGCAAUGGACGACAGUCUGACCGAGCCACGCCGCGUGAGUGAAGAAGGUUUUCGGUUCGUAAAGCUCUGUUGUGAGUGAAGCGGUAUCUAACCAGAAAGCCACGGCUAACUACGUGCCAGCAGCCGCGGUAAUAC